CAAAAAAUAGUUUAAGCGAAAAAACACUAGUUUUGGGGACUAGAGAUAGGCGUGUGACUUUUUUUGAU
rnacentral:tRNA from 1 species